GCCGGGCUUCGCGCGGUGGGGCUCGCUCGCGCGGCAGCAGCGGUAGCCGAGGCCUCUUGGUUCUGCGGCACGUGACGGUUGGGCCGCCUCUGCCGCUGUCUCCACUGCAGCGCGGGGCCAGGUGUGCGGGCGGGUGGAGGCGCGGGCACCACCGGCGGACCCCGCAAAGCUCGAGAUAAUGGAAGGGAAGUGGUUGCUGUGUAUGCUACUGGUCCUCGGAACUGCUAUCGUUCAGGCCCAUGAAGGACACGAUGAUGAUAUGAUUGAUAUUGAGGACGACCUCGAUGAUGUUAUCGAAGAGGUGGAAGACUCCAAAUCGAAACCAGAUACCAGCGCUCCUCCUUCUCCAAAGGUCACCUAUAAAGCUCCGGUUCCAACAGGGGAAGUGUAUUUUGCUGAUUCUUUUGACCGAGGAACUCUGUCAGGGUGGAUUUUAUCCAAAGCUAAGAAGGAUGACACUGAUGAUGAAAUUGCCAAAUACGACGGAAAGUGGGAGGUAGAUGAAAUGAAGGAAACAAAGCUCCCAGGUGAUAAAGGGCUUGUGUUGCUGUCUCGGGCCAAGCAUCAUGCCAUCUCUGCAAAACUGAACAAGCCCUUCCUGUUUGAUACCAAGCCUCUCAUUGUUCAAUAUGAAGUCAAUUUCCAAAAUGGAAUAGAAUGUGGCGGUGCCUAUGUGAAACUGCUUUCCAAAACCCCAGAACUCAACCUGGAUCAGUUCCACGACAAGACCCCUUAUACGAUUAUGUUUGGUCCAGAUAAAUGUGGAGAAGACUAUAAAUUGCACUUCAUCUUCCGCCACAAAAACCCCAAAACCGGUAUAUAUGAAGAAAAGCAUGCCAAGAGGCCAGAUGCAGAUCUGAAGACCUAUUUUACUGAUAAGAAAACACAUCUUUAUACAUUAAUAUUGAAUCCAGAUAAUAGUUUUGAAAUAUUAGUGGACCAAUCUGUUGUGAAUAGUGGAAAUUUGCUAAAUGACAUGACUCCUCCUGUAAAUCCUUCACGUGAAAUUGAGGACCCAGAAGACCAGAAGCCUGAGGAUUGGGAUGAAAGACCAAAAAUACCAGAUCCUGAUGCUGUCAAACCAGAUGACUGGGAUGAAGAUGCCCCUGCUAAGAUUCCAGAUGAAGAAGCUACAAAGCCUGAAGGCUGGUUAGAUGAUGAGCCCGAAUAUGUACCUGAUCCAGAUGCGGAGAAGCCAGAGGAUUGGGAUGAAGAUAUGGAUGGGGAAUGGGAGGCUCCCCAGAUUGCCAACCCUAAGUGUGAGUCGGCCCCUGGGUGUGGUGUCUGGCAGCGACCUAUGAUUGACAACCCUAAUUAUAAGGGCAAAUGGAAGCCUCCCAUGAUUGACAAUCCUAACUACCAGGGAAUCUGGAAGCCCCGAAAAAUACCAAAUCCGGAUUUCUUUGAAGAUCUGGAACCUUUCAAAAUGACUCCUUUUAGUGCUAUUGGUUUGGAACUGUGGUCCAUGACCUCCGACAUUUUUUUUGACAACUUUAUUGUUUGCGGGGAUCGAAGAGUAGUUGAUGACUGGGCCAAUGAUGGAUGGGGACUAAAGAAGGCUGCUGAUGGGGCUGCCGAGCCGGGUGUAGUGGGGCAGAUGAUUGAGGCAGCUGAGGAGCGCCCGUGGCUCUGGGUGGUCUACAUUUUGACCGUAGCUCUGCCCGUGUUUCUUGUUAUCCUCUUCUGCUGCUCUGGAAAGAGACAGUCGGGUCCCGUGGAGUAUAAGAAGACCGAUGCUCCCCAGCCGGACGUGAGGGAGGAGGAGGAAGAAAAGGAAGAGGAAAAGGGCAAGGGGGAUGAGGACGAGGAGGGCGAGGAAAGACUCGGUAAGUGGACCCCCGCCCGUCUGCUUUACGCCGAGACCCUGAGCUCCUUCAAACUCAAAGCAAGUGGCAACAGUAAAGAUUGCCCUAGACUCCAGAGGCGCGUCCUAAGGCUUCUGGUCUCAUUAUCAAAAACAAGUAUGAGGUUUUGCUCAGUGUGUUGUACUUUUGGUCUCUGUCUCAGAAGAGAAGCAGAAAAGUGAUGCUGAGGAAGAUGGCGGCACUGCCAGUCAGGAGGAGGACGACAGGAAACCUAAAGCAGAGGAGGAUGAAAUUUUGAACAGAUCACCAAGAAACAGAAAGCCGCGAAGAGAGUGAAACAAUCUUAAGAACUUGAUCUGUGAUUUCCUCUCCCUCCCCUUCCCCUGCAAGCGUGGUCCUAGGAGAGGACCUGGCACACCUUAGGUUGAAACUCAGAAAACCUCCAGACGUCACCAUCGACAGGCUCCAGUCGAACACUAGCCCGUGUAAUUGUAAACAUCUAAGCAGUCAGUAAUUGCAGUUGUGACAUAAAGGACCCUGUUUCUGUAGAAAGCAAGCAUAUAACAUUAAUGGUUGUGAAAUGUAACAUGAAGCAACUAACUCGUAUUUUUGUUUUUGUUUUUAAACAUCCUUGUUUUUUAAAAUAGAGUAAUAGAACUUUGCCAGUCUUUAAAAUCUUGGCUUAAUUUAAUAUAUUAAUCUGUCCAUACAGAAAUAACACCAACCUUUAGAAAUGUUAGGGGGAUGAAUUGCAGUUUUUAUAACCAAAUUUUGUUUUUUAAGUUUGGUAUUACAAAACAUUCAGGUGUUCUCUGUCCCUUAAAAUGGAUAAUCAUGUUGAAAGUACAGUCGCUACGUGGUUAUAAUCUUGUUUUGCUUGCUUCCAUCACCCAGUUCCUCUUAAGGAAACUGAGGAGAUGGACUGGAUGGAAGCCCAAAUUUAUAGAAAGGUUCUGUUUCAGUUGUAUUAAAAAUAGACAUACAGAAAGAAGAAACUUUUCCUCUUGAUGUUGGUUAGACCAUACCGUGCGUGUGUUCUGUAGCCCUUGGAACAGCUGCAUUCCCAGACAGUCAGUGGAGGAGGUGACAUAAGGUGGCACUCGGGCAAUCAUGCUUCCCCAACUGGGAGAGUCUGGGCUCCAGCCUUCCGGAGCACGUGGCUGUUUAAGGAAUGCUCCCAAGGCACAGGAGCUCCCAAGUAGAUGCAGAUGUUUUCAUCACUUCUUCCACUGUGUUGACACUGUUUCCUUCCCUGUUGCCCCAGAUCCCCGGCUUUCUCCUCUGCUAUGCAUUUUCUUCACAGCGCAGCUUGCAGUCCGUCGCUAAAAAUGAUUAUAAGCUCCGCAUAGUGUUAAGCUUUAUUGUGAUUAAGUGUACGUUUCUUCUUCCUUUUUUAAGCAGACCCACACCUUUCCAGGGUCAAAGUACAGGAUAGAAUACUGUCUUUCAUUUUUAUCCAUUUCUUUUACUCUGUGUAAAGACUUGAGAAGUCUGAGCCAGAGGUGAGCCAAUUCAGAAUUGACUGUAAUUGAACAUAGGCGAAAAGUAUUUAUGGGAGGAGUGACAUACAGCAUGAAUUUUCUGAUUUUUUUUUUUUUAGCUGCUAAACUUUUUAAGUCUUCAUUUGCAGUUCAUGUAACCUUUGUGUCUUAAAUUACAUGAUAAAGCAGUCCUGUUGAAAAAUUUUUUUGUUUGGGUAUGUGGUUUGUAGAAUUCUUUAAAAAGUGAUCUGACAUUUGUUUUUUUUUCAUGUGGAAUGCAGAUGGGUGCUAUCAGAGCCUCUCCCCCAUCACUAUAGUGUAAUAUCAUUAUUACACCACACUGAAAUGUAUUCAGAAUUGUUUUAGCUUUAUUCUUUCUUCAGAGGUGUUUCAAAUGUACCGGUGAUACUGUUUCUUGCACUGAAUAUAUAAACACUCCAAAGUGUUUAUAUUGGGGAGAUUUGGGGAGGAAGUAUAUUCGUAAAAGAUGAAGGCUGUAUCUGUUUAUUUUGUUUAUCUUCAAUUUUUUACUGGUUCACUGAAAUUCUUAUGAGGGUGGGAUGAAUUUUUCUUGCUGUUCAGUGCUUUAUCCUUUUCAUCUGUUGUUCUGUGGUCACAGUGACCUUAGCUAUGUAGCAGACUUUCCCAAAUGUAUUGAGUGCAAAUAAACAGUUACUUAGCAAGACCUGAAAAUAUGUCUGCAGGUUUCUCCUUGAAGCAAAUGUGUGGGAUUAUUGCAUUUCCAGAAACCUGCCUUCACUGACCGUUGGCGUUACAUCUCGUGUCUCACUUGACAGUUCCUUCCAGCCCAGCUGUGGAAUGACAAGUAUAAACUAGAGUGUUCCUUUGCCCUUCCAGGAUUAUUUAGCAAAGUUUGUCAAAAAAAAAAAAAA